UAUAUGAAGAUUUUGGGUCUGGCUUUAGUUUCCGAGAUUUGGUUGGCUUCCGGUUCGAUUUCCCGAUUUGCAAUCUUAUGGAGCCUUGCGUGCAACGGCACCGUUAGGCAAACCCUACAUAAAACUCUUCCACGAGACGUCUACUUGGGCGGCUGCUAACAGAAAAGACAAAUCAAUAUCCUCUCAAUGAAUUUCCGGGCUGACGAACAAGAGGACUCGAUGUCUAUUGCAAAACCAGUAACUCGUACACUGGAGACUACUCUGAAGAAGAACAAGAAUAAGAUGACAGUCUCUCUCUUAAGUAAGAACGUGUUGCAACUGUGUUCCAGUAGCAAAACAAAUCUGAAGAGGCAGAAGAUACGCAAGGAGAGUAAAGCAAAUUUGAAAAAGCAGAAGAAAACUGAGAGAGAGAAGAAAAAGAAGGAAGAUUCUUGCUGUUUUGGAUGUGAAGAAGCCUUCGGAAAUAAUGAUGAAACCAUUUUCGUUAAGGGAUUUCAACAUUUGCGCCCCAUGAAUUGAGCAGCAUUUUUGGUUCUUGUGGAAAGAUAAUAAGCGUUUUUGUUCCCAUGCAAUGUGGUACCUGUGUUCCCUUAGGAUUUGCUUUCAUUAAUAUCUUAAAUGGCGAAGAGAAGGCGUUGAAACUAAAUGGAAUUAAGUUACAUGGGAGGAAGAAAGCUUAAGGUGAAGAUGGCUAUUGAUAGUGAUGAAUACUUCGGGUAUGAUGACUUUGAUGGGUGUGACCUUUGUCGAGGGCCAGGCAAGCUCAGAUCUCGCAGGCCGAUUGCCAUUGACGAAGCUUCUUUUCAACUGUACUACUGAACCCAAGCUUAUUUUUAUUAUCUAAUUAUUUUGUCUUGUAUGAUUUUGAUAUGCUAUGCUUAAAACAAAUUAUGUAAGAACUCGCUACUAUGUAGACGGUGGU